rnacentral:rRNA from 1 species
GACGUAGGGCGCAAGCGUUGUCCCGGAUUUAUUGGGCGUAAAGAGCUCGUAGGCGGCUUGUUGCGUCGACUGUGAAAACCCGCGGCUUAACUGCGGGCUUGCAGUUGAUACGGGCAGGCUAGAGUUCGGUAGGGGAGACUGGAAUUCCUGGUGUAGCGGUGAAAUGCGCAGAUAUCAGGAGGAACACCGGUGGCGAAGGCGGCUCACUGGUCCGGUACUGACGCUGAGGUGCGAAAGCGUGGGGAGCAAACAGG